UAUUAUGACGCUCAUUCGAUGAAGAAUAGCGCUAUUGUGAAUUUCGCUCGUUUAGGUUGUUCACAAUAGUAUAUUUUUCACCGCGCAGAAGCUUUGUUUAGAAAAGUCGAGCAAACUAAAAAGUGUGUUUAUACAUAUUUAUGUAAAUUU